ACUGAAAUGACCCUUUUGCCCCAGUAACAGCUGACCUGAGUGGAAGGAGGAGGAACUGGAAGUGACAGGAGCGGAGGCAGCUUAGGCCCUGGGGCCUGCAGGCCUGGCCCUCCAUCUCCAUCAGUGCCACAAGCCACUCAGGACGGAGGGCAGGGAGGAAGACCACCUUCCACCUCAGAGGGUCAGAGGAGUGACAGAGAGGGACUCUGACUGACUGAGUGGAGGAAGACAUACAAAGGAAUGGCAGAGAUGGGGGAAGAAACAGUACUUGUCCUUCCAAGCUCACCUCCUCCUCGGAGUCUUUGCUGAUCAGUUUCCCCCAACCAGAAGAGCUCUUCCUUCCCCCACCCCACCUGUUCACCUGCUCCAGCUUUUUGGUGUUCUGUGAAGCCCUGCAUGCACAGUCCACAAACAAACCACUCCAAGAAUGCAGCGCCAAGAAAACAGUUCUACAGGAACAAGUCCACUUCCUUUCACCAGAAACCCAGAAAACUACAGAAUCCACUCUGAUCCCCUUUAGACGCUGACUACCAGGAAGCUCAGGGCUACAAGAGCUCAACCUGAGGCCCUGCAAUUGGUGGCCUGAACAGCGAAGAAGUGCACACACACACAUGCUCUGUAACGGAGGCCUUCUAGGACCCCACCCCACGCCCUGCACCCCGUGCCUGGUACCUGCACGAAGAGGAAGGUGGCGAACCACUCCCGGAGCUCCAUCUGUGUCUCACAGCACAGCCCCAGCUGCAGAGAAGGAGCAGGUGCAGUCACUCAACCACCCAGAGAGGCCUCACAGCCCAGCAGCCUGGACCAGUGCUGGGGGCAGAGUUCAGGGCCUUCGGCAGGCACAGCACAUCCCAGCCUCUGUCUCCUCCUCUCACGGGCCCCUCCCGCUAGCCUCCCAGAGACUUGGCUCCCUACCCCCGAGCCCUAUGCCCCAGAGACAAGCAGGCACAACCAGGGGCUAAGAGGAGAAUGCCAGAAACCCAAGUCGAGUGACUGCAACUAAUAACAACGGGAGUGGCUGUGCAUCGCGUUUCAACUUUUAAAACAUACAACCAUCUCAACUGUAUUUCAAUUUUAAAAAAAGAAGAACCACAAUCAACUUCUGGAACAGGCGUGCCAUUAUUUU